GGGACCAGCGGCCGCCAUGGCGGAGUGGGGCCGAGGGCCGAGUGCAGGAGCCGCGGAGGAUGUGCUGGACGUGGAGAACAAGCGCAUGGCAGACAGCCUGGCCAGCAAGGUCACCCGGCUCAAGACGCUGGCGCUGGACAUCGACAAAGAUGCUGAGGAGCAGAACCGUUACCUGGAUGGCAUGGACUCGGACCUGCUGAGCGUGACCGGGCUGCUCACGGGCAGCGUGAAGCGCUUCUCCAGCAUGGCGCGCUCGGGCAGGGAGAACCGGCGCCUGCUCUGCUCCGUGUCAGCUGGCCUCAUCGUGGUGUUCGUCAUCCUCUACUACCUGGUGGCCAAAGCAGGGACUUGAGCUGUUCUGUGGGUUUCACACGACAGGAAACACAGUGACUGACAGACCCCGUUCAACGCCUUCCUUGGUCUGCCCCGUGGUGGAGUCCUUGAGGUGUUCCAGACAGACCUUCCAAAUAACUUCUCUUUCCACCAGCUUCUCGUCCUUGUUCUGCUGGUCUCAGACGUCUCUUUAUAAGAUUAUGUGAUUCUAAAUGGAUUUUCAUGUAUAACACAUCCUGAUGUUGUUAAAUGCUUUAACAUCUUUAUCUCUUGCUUUGUUGGCCGUGGCUCACAGCCUGUUUUUAAAGGCUGCUUUUGUGUUACCUCCCUACUGACACUCGGUGCUAGGCUUGUGAGGAGAUGUGGCUCCAGAGACUCAGAUGCUCAGAAACCAGCUGCUCUCAGCUUCCCCUUGGCCCAAAGACCUGUUGAUAGUCGGGGUUCCUGGCUUGAAAUGAAGUCUGCGCUGCUUUGAAAUGAAAUUAGCAGUAGAUUUGCACCCUGAUAGUCCCCAGUUGUUGCAGAGGAGCAAAACUUGAUUUAAAUGCUAGCUCUGUCACCUCUAUCAGCCCUCUGGGCAACACUGGGGAUGAGCCCUGCAAGAAAGGAGGGCCAGAGCCCAUAGCCCACCUCGGUUUGCACACAUACAGUAUCUUCCAGUCCCUUCCACACAGCUGGAAACACACUCCCUUAACUGUAAAGCAGUGUUAAGAGAAUCUGAUGGCAGAAGGUCCAGUUCAGUUCAGUCGUUAUGGUGCACUUUGGGUAGAUGUUGUGCAGAGGUUGAGGUCAAGUGAAACUCCUGCACGGUGCCGCUGGGGUGGUGGGAGGUCACGGAAGGACUGGAUCAGAGGGUGGGUUUGUUUCUCUGUUCAUGGAGAAGGUACCCAGGCUUUGCCUUUCACAGAACUCUGGGAUGCUGCCUGCAGGGCUCGUGGCACAUCCCUCCCGUCCCGUCUCAGAGCUGUCGCUCCCGCAGUGGUGCCGGUUUCCUCUCCCGAGGUGCUGCACGUGGCUCUGGGAGUGCGGGAGCUGGGACCGCUCCUUCCCGUCACCCCCCCAGCCUUGCCCUGGGCUGGUCACUCACACCACGGCCCCAGCUGAGUUCUUCAUAGCUGUUAUCUCAGUCUGCCCAUGACUGAAGCAAUUGCUCUGUAGCUGUCAAGUGCUGUGCCGGUUGGGAGAAAGGAUGUAAAACCAACCACCCUCCGCUGCCUGCUGUGUAAGUGCUGCUGUGUCCCACCCUGGCUCUUUCUGUACCCACUGCUCACGUGUUCUGGUUUUCCUUUGAGAAAGUCCCUGCUGAUUUGCUCUGCAGGACUGAGGCUUUACUCCUCUGACAUUCCAGCCCUUCUCCUCUCCAGCAAGCCUGUGUUCACCAGCGGGGGGAUGUUUCCUUUGGCAUCCCCUUGCACCCAUUAGGAAUUCCCUUGUCCUUGGACUGACCCCGCUCCAGAUCCAUAAGGGGACAGUGUUGUCCGUUGUUCCAGCUGUACCAGACUGUGCCCAGACACUGCACUGGCUGGAUUGGGUGUCUUCAGGCUUCUACCUUUGGGAAGUGCACAGGGAAGGCCAAUAAGAAGGAGGCAGCAGUGACUUUCUCUGGUCCUUCCUCCUGCUUCUCUGGUGAGAUGUGGCAACUCCCAACUCUUUCCAUUUGGAAGAACAACGGGUGAACUGAUGGACUUUGAGUUCCUGAAGCAGAAGGCUCCUGAUGAAAGGCCAUGGCACAGCCUGGUCCUCAUGAUGCUGGUGGGUUUGUUUGCUUCUACUGUUGCAAAUAAAGCUCUGGGUUUAGAAUC
ensembl:lncRNA